CCUUGCUCAUUCUCUUCCUUUCUUCUUUUUCAAAACGGACUUUCUGGUUAUCCAUCGUGACUCUAUGUUUGUAGCUGCCGCUGGUGAAGAAUGGUUCCUGCUCUAACUCAGUCUAAUUAUUCUCAGACUGUGUGUAUCUGCAGUUUUCUAGCGUAUUCAGACGCUCGACGAGGUCUACCAAUGAUUUAUUUUGUGCACUCGUGGAAAAGGCGCCGUGAACAUAACACAAGGCAGUCGCUAAAAUUUCAGUAGUCCGGAUAGCAACCGAUGCAGUGGCAGUAUGGUUGAGCUGCUGCAGCAGCAACAGCAGCAGCAUCACAGUGGACGUUGUGCACUAACUUACCAGUGCGACGCAGUGUCGGUCCUUAGUCUCAGCAAGUACGCGCGCGGCCGGCGGGCAAUGGUGGACCUUGCGAACUACUGGCAGUACUGCCAUGGAACUGUACAAUGUAGAGUAACUUCCAAGCUGACACCUUGUUAGGGUAUUGAGGACUGUUUACAGCAAGGACUUCGGACACUUUGUGUACAAUAGUCUAUUAGUCAUGUACAUUUACAUGUACUAGUGUCCACGGGGACCACCCAAAUGCCAACUAGGAAGACGCCACACAGUGGACAAUACUAAACAGAGCGGGUGAGCGGCUCGACGCGGUGAUGCAUGCAGUCACGAUGUCCCUGCACGUACGAGUGACUUUAUUAACUCUGACGGGCCACAGAUCCUGGCUGGGCGUUGGUACUGCAUCGAUGUCAGCUGUCGCGUUCCACAAAUGGCGAUCUGAAAAACGAUUUCUCCUCGGUGAAAAGAAGGUCCAAGCAGUUCCUUUAAUUGAAACGAGGUUCACCGCUCAAGACGGCGAGGUAUGUGCAUCUCCAAGCGGCUGAACAACUCUUAAGCAUGGUCUAUAGAUCAUGCGUCAUGUGUUUGGCGAUGUGUUUCCUCAAGACCCACUGGCUCAUCUCCACCUACAGUCAGACCUCCCUUAACCGCACACAUCCGUUUUGCACUAAAAUAUCCGGAUAGACCAAGGAACCGGAUAAUCGAACACUGAUUAUGUCAGAUGCAUCACGCCUGCUGUAUAUCUGUAACCAGCUAUUUUCUUCCUGAUGGCGAGGGAUCUGGAUAAAAGAGGACCGGAUAAGUGAGGUCUGACUGUAUUAUCAUGCCGCCCAGGCCAUGUCGGUCUCUUUCUGCCACACCUGGUAGCAUGUAUCAGCGUGGUCACCUCGCUGAUUCCGUAGCAGCAAGUUGAGAUCAUUUUGGAACUGUGUAUUUAAAAGUACUUCAUGGCCUGGCAUGUCUCCUUGUUUGACCGUGAAUGUGUCAUGGACAAUUCAAACAUCCGAAUUGUUCUUCGCUUGUGUCAGACCAGUUUAGUGUGUCAGCGAGGAGUAUCAUAGAUGUGGAUGUUCAUCAAUUUAGUCAGAAAAUGAACCGAAAUCCUUUGCAUGUAUCUUCUUUUUUCUGUUACAUUGCGUUGAUAUACCGCUGACUGACCGCAGUCAAUUUUUACGGCGGUGUUUAGAUUUUCGUCUUUUUGCCAAUGGGCCAGGACUUGGGUAUUUCAUAUUAAUGUCACUGUUUCUAUUUGGAAUAUGUCUCUUGCCUGCUGCUCUGUGUGAGCUGAGGUCUGUUUGUCUCUCCUUUUGCAUGUCUGUCGGCCUAGCUGGCUGCAUGCCCAUCCACCUGCAUAUCUGCUUGUAUGUCCUUCUGUCUUACUGGUGCGAGAUGUACCCACAAUGCGAUGGCGUCUGAUGAGUGGACUUGAAUCUUUCCUAUUUUUGAAGAAGAUAAAAAAAUGUGUCCCCAGACCUUCACUGCACAUUGUCUCCUGAAAAACAGUUGGAGGAAUGCCAUGUCGAGUGCGUACAUGCUUCUUAUUAUUUGUCUGACUCAUACAAUCAUACCGGUACAC